UAGGGAAUUUUUCACAAUGAGCGAAAGCUUGAUGGAGCAAUGCCGCGUGAACGAUGAAGGUCUUUAAGAUUGUAAAGUUCUUUUAUUUGGGAAGAAUGACUUUAGCAGGUAAUGGCUAGAGUUUGACUGUACCAUUUUGAAUAAGUGACGACUAACUAUGUGCCAGCAGUCGCGGUAAUACAUAGGUCGCAAGCGUUAUCCGGAUUUAUUGGGCGUAAAGCAAGCGCAGGCGGAUUGAAAAGUCUGGUGUUAAAGGCAGCUGCUUAACAGUUGUAUGCAUUGGAAACUAUUAAUCUAGAGUGUGGUAGGGAGUUUUGGAAUUUCAUGUGGAGCGGUGAAAUGCGUAGAUAUAUGAAGGAACACCAGUGGCGAAGGCGAAAACUUAGGCCAUUACUGACGCUUAGGCUUGAAAGUGUGGGGAGCAAAUAGGAUUAGAUACCCUAGUAGUCCACACCGUAACGAUAGAUACUAGCUGUCGGGGCGAUCCCCUCGGUAGUGAAGUUAACACAUUAAGUAUCUCGCCUGGGGUAGUACAUUCGCAAGAAU
rnacentral:rRNA from 1 species